UUCAAAGGUUAAAUAUGUGUUGGCCACUUAGAAUAUCACUGGUGCUUAUUUUAAUUCACAGCUUCUAAAAUUAAAUGUUCCUGUCUCUGUAUUUUUCAAAUACCAAAGUUCAGCUCCUAAAGUUGACACUUUUCCUCCUAUAGACUCUAGAGAGGGAUUACAAUCACAUCAUUAUGUUUUAAAAAUGAAUAAGUUUUUCAUGGAGAUAAAAUAAAGAAUUGUGUUUUUUAAGUAUAAAAACAUUGUCAAUCCAAGUUCAUACAUUUCAGAAAAGAAAAUCAGUUGCAGGACCUCCAAUUAUGCACCAAUUUCAGAAGAACCUGAAUUUCACAGAACCAACAAACAGAUGAAGAAAGAGAAACCAACGAAGAGACCCAGACAAACUCACAAAGAUAUGCAACACGAGGCUCCUCCUUUCCAAGCAAGUUGGCCACUCGAAGGAACCUUUGAAUUUCAGAAGCAAAAACUGUUGGCAACCUUUCACUGUCAAAGGGUUCUGGAGCAUAUUCCUGGUUGUUGCUGCCAUUGGUAAUGGCCAAAGUGACAUGGGGUGCCUCAGAUGUCGAUGCUGAUGCUGUUGAUGUCUCUCCUCGCUCGAAAUAGAUGCCUUCAAUGGGUUCUGCGGGCACAAUCUCUGACAUUGCUCUGAACUAAGAAACCAGCAAAAGGGUUAUGACACGCAUGCAUGGUAUAUAUGUUGAAUCUUCUCCAUAGUGUUUGCUUAGUGAGCUGUUUUUGUUUUGGCUGUAGCAUUCUUUCCCUCUAAGAAGAGAAGGAGGGAAAAAACAUAAACAAAGACACGUGUUCCUCACUCACUGCUUUCUUUACCAAACUGUGAAGACUUAUU
rnacentral:sRNA from 1 species